AGACCUAACGGCAGUGAGGGAAAUGGCUCAAGGAAAGGGUUAGAUUAUGGUGUUUAGCCGACCCCAGGGACAGAAGAGAAGACCAUAGUACCCAGCAGCUCCUCUGCAGCGCUGUGGUUGACUUGGUACCAGCCUGAAUCUUUGAAGGCAGCAAGAGUGAUGGGAUCGAGUCGAGUGCGCCGGGCACCAUCGAAGCCGUUUCCCGGGGGCCUGAGGUCCUGUCUCACAGCUCAGCACUCUCAUCCUGGUCUCCAGUUCAGCUCGUGAAGGAAAAGUGGGCCUGAGCCCACUGCGGAGCCUAAAGCAAUGGGAACACACGUGUGAGCUGCUUGGACCUUGAUUUGCUGGUUUCUUAAA